CAAAACAGUUUACGUUUCCACGAUGUAGAUGCAGAAGUACUUGGGGAAAUUUUGUAGCCACAAAUCUGCUCCUUGUUUGGAAAACUUCCAUAAGAUAGCCUACAAUCAAAUCACCCAUCUCCUUGGAGACACAGGAAAUUGUACUUAGGAUCCAUGGGGAAUCUCAGAAUCUCCCUUUUCUAGGUCUUAUGUGCCGAGUACUUACACAACAUAAUGCAACUUUCUAUGCUCUUACUCCUGCAAACGUUUCCUUCUUGUGAAGAGGAGAGCCAUGUAAAUACAAGUUUUAUUUCAUUGAACAUUCAACCAUGUGAAAAUGGAGAAGAGGAAACUUUCCACUUAUUCAUCAUCAUUCAUUCUGACUGCUAAAGAGAUCCAGGCUCCUAACAGCUAAUAAAUGAAAUGGAGAGGUUUUAGAAGACA
rnacentral:lncRNA from 13 species